UACGUAGGGGGCUAGCGUUAUCCGGAAUUACUGGGCGUAAAGGGUGCGUAGGUGGUUUCUUAAGUCAGAGGUGAAAGGCUACGGCUCAACCGUAGUAAGCCUUUGAAACUGGGAAACUUGAGUGCAGGAGAGGAGAGUGGAAUUCCUAGUGUAGCGGUGGAAUGCGCAGAGAUCAGGAGGAAUACCGAAGGCGAAGGCAGUCUUCCAAGCCGUUAUUGACGCUCAACUGCGAAGGUGUGGGUAUCAAACAGGAUUAGAUACCCGGGUAGUCCCUGAGCGGGCU
rnacentral:rRNA from 1 species